UACGUAGGGUGCAAGCGUUGUCCGGAAUUAUUGGGCGUAAAGAGCUCGUAGGCGGUUUGUCGCGUCUGCUGUGAAAACGCGAGGCUCAACCUCGCGCCUGCAGUGGGUACGGGCAGACUAGAGUGUGGUAGGGGAGAUUGGAAUUCCUGGUGUAGCGGUGGAAUGCGCAGAUAUCGGGAGGAACACCGGUGGCGAAGGCGGUUCUCUGGGCCUUACCUGACGCUGAGGAGCGAAAGCGUGGGGAGCGAACAGG
rnacentral:rRNA from 1 species